rnacentral:rRNA from 1 species
AUCAACGCUGGCGGCGUGCCUCAGACAUGCAAGUCGAACGAUUAAAGCUCUCUUCGGAGAGUGUAUAGAGUGGCGCACGGGUGAGUAACACGUAAGUAAUCUACCUUUGAGUGGGGAAUAACGUCCGGAAACGGACGCUAAUACCGCAUAAUGCAGCGGCAUCGCAAGAUGACAGUUGUUAAAGAUUUAUCGCUUGAAGAGGAGCUUGCGGCAGAUUAGCUAGUUGGUAAGGUAAUGGCUUACCAAGGCUACGAUCUGUAACCGGUCUAAGAGGACGGUCGGUCACACUGACACUGAACAACGGGUCAGACUCCUACGGGAGGCAGCAGUGGGGAAUAUUGGACAAUGGGGGCAACCCUGAUCCAGCAAUGCCGCGUGAGUGAAGAAGGCCUUAGGGUUGUAAAGCUCUUUCGGCGGGACGAUGAUGACGGUACCCGCAGAAGAA